CUCCCCCUAAUGCUUUCCCUACACAGCAUGGAUGCACUGAGCCUGUCUGAGAGUGAAGGUCACUCCACCAGCAUGAGUCACCUUUGACCCUGGUGUAGGCAAACGUGGCUGGAAGUUUUGUUUCCUUCAUGAUUCACAGGACAGGAAAUAAGCCUUUAUCCCUCCCCAGGUUUCCUGCAAGAACUGGAUGGCCCGAACGAUUCUGGAUGCAGAGUCUAGACAGAAUGAUUCCAUUAUCCCACUCUGCUGAAGGAACCAAUUCUGACUUGAUGCUGAGCAGCCCCGGCCAUGUUCCUAUGACACCUCAGAGCCUAUGCCCUGGGCUUCACUCUGAGCAGUGACUUGCUUGAGACUGUACGAGGCAGUGAAGCAGGAGGAAGGGAAGGUGGGAGAGAGGGAAGAAGGGAGGGGAGGGAGGGAGGAGGGAGGGAGGAGGGAGGGAGGGAGGGAGGGAGGGAAGGAGGUCUAGGAUCUCUGCAAUUGAGCUGUGUGCCUCACUUCCCCUUAAACCCUCGCUCUAGCCCAGGCAUCAGGAACCUUGCAGAUUGACUCCUGUGAGCCCAGAUUGACUUCUUGAACUGGUCUCUGGCUGCACAGGUCACUGUGUGUCUGUGCCUCCUGGAAAAGAGAGAGAAAAAUGGGUCUCAGGACAACCCAGAACUGUCCAUCCUCCAUUCUACCUGUCCUUGUCUUUCAGCCAUCCUAGAAACACCCAUGUGUCUUGACUGUGUCCCACUAAAAAUUCCUUUGGCUUUGUCUGAAUUUGCUUUGCCAAGGGAAUGGAGAGAAUGGGCAAAGCAAAUUGCCCACCCAAGGUGACAGGCAGACAGUAGAAGGACUGAAGAAGCACACACGUCAUGCCUUCCGUGCCCACCCUCGGCCUUUGCCCUGAUGGCAAAUACUCAGCCAUCUUUCAAACAUAUGUGGGGCGCUGAUAGUUUACAAGGACUUCCUUUUGCUUCGUUUCAUGGGCUCCUCACCACAUACUCAUGACAAACAUGGUGUGCGCAACAGGAAGUACAAGAUCAAAGGGUUGGAUGAGUCCUUGCUGACCACACAGCACCACAGGGGCCCUCCCAGCCUGAGCUCCAGCUAGCCAGCUGUCUGUGUGGCCCUUUUCUCUGGAACAACCCCUCCACCCCACCCCACACCAACCAAGACAACUUUAUCAGGUCUUAAGCUUAACUUAAAGUUCCCCUGCACCAGGGCCUUUGCUUGGUCAUCCUCUGUCUCAAAUACCUUCGCCUAUUUUGUUGUUGGGACUGGGUCUCACUGUGUGGCCCAGACUGGCCUUGAACUGUGACUCUUUGCCUCUGCUUCCUAAGUUCUGGGGUUACAGGU
rnacentral:lncRNA from 1 species